GGGGAGCGGCGAGGAGGAGGAGGAGGGUGCCGGGGGGGUGAUGGAUCCCCCCGAGCGGUGACAGCCCCUCUUCCCCCCUGCCUGAGGGAUGCUGAGCCCGAGGGACACGGUCCUGGGUCACUGCCCCCCUCCAGGGACAGCUGGGGCAAUGGUCCGAGCACAAACUGGUGCUGUGGUUCUUACUGGGGGAAAGCACCUGGUUUUGGGUCUCAGCAUGCCUCCCGAAGGGAAGCCCAGCAUGGAGCGAAGACACCCGCUCAGCUCUCAGCUCCGUCCUCAUCCCAGGCUGUGCGAGGGAUGCCUGGAGAAAAGCAUGAAUCAGCCUUUCUCGGAGCACACGGCGUGACGAGCUCCCGGCGGCUCCCCCGUGGGUUUGCCUCGCAGCCCUGCCUGCUGCGGGUGGGUUCUUUAUGGGGCUGACUUCUUUGGGCAUCGCUGGUGAGGCAGAGCCACAGCUCUGGCGUCCUCACCGGGGGACGGUUGCGCACCAAAUGCUUUUGCAUCCCUGCAGGCGUUGCAAAGAGCAGGGCUGCAUUCUGUUGCCAUUAGAAGAAAUAAAAAUCAGUUUUUUUUUCCCCCCUC